rnacentral:rRNA from 1 species
GACGAACGCUGGUGGCGUGCCUAAUACAUGCAAGUUGAGCGCUGAAGGUUGGUACUUGUACCAACUGGAUGAGCAGCGAACGGGUGAGUAACGCGUGGGGAAUCUGCCUUUGAGCGGGGGACAACAUUUGGAAACGAAUGCUAAUACCGCAUAAAAACUUUAAACACAAGUUUUAAGUUUGAAAGAUGCAAUUGCAUCACUCAAAGAUGAUCCCGCGUUGUAUUAGCUAGUUGGUGAGGUAAAGGCUCACCAAGGCGAUGAUACAUAGCCGACCUGAGAGGGUGAUCGGCCACAUUGGGACGGAGACACGGCCCAAACUCCUACGGGAGGCAGCAGUAGGGAAUCUUCGGCAAUGGACGAAAGUCUGACCGAGCAACGCCGCGUGAGUGAAGAAGGUUUUCGGAUCGUAAAACUCUGUUGGUAGAGAAGAACGUUGGUGAGAGUGGAAAGCUCAUCAAGUGACGGUAACUACCCAGAAAGGGACGGCUAACUACGUG